rnacentral:rRNA from 1 species
GAGUGCAGAAGAGGACAGUGGAACUCCAUGUGUAGCGGUGAAAUGCGUAGAUAUAUGGAAGAACACCAGUGGCGAAGGCGGCUGUCUGGUCUGUAACUGACGCUGAGGCUCGAAAGUAUGGGUAGCAAACAGGAUUAGAUACCCUGGUAGUCCAUACCGUAAACGAUGAAUGCUAAGUGUUGGAGGGUUUCCGCCCUUCAGUGCUGCAGCUAACGCAUUAAGCAUUCCGCCUGGGGAGUACGGCCGCAAGGCUGAAACUCAAAGGAAUUGACGGGGGCCCGCACAAGCGGUGGAGCAUGUGGUUUAAUUCGAAGCUACGCGAAGAACCUUACCAGGUCUUGACAUACUAUGCAAAUCUAAGAGAUUAGACGUUCCCUUCGGGGACAUGGAUACAGGUGGUGCAUGGUUGUCGUCAGCUCGUGUCGUGAGAUGUUGGGUUAAGUCCCGCAACGAGCGCAACCCUUAUUAUCAGUUGCCAGCAUUAAGUUGGGCACUCUGGUGAGACUGCCGGUGACAAACCGGAGGAAGGUGGGGAUGACGUCAAAUCAUCAUGCCCCUUAUGACCUGGGCUACACACGUGCUACAAUGGAUGGUACAACGAGUUGCGAACUCGCGAGAGUAAGCUAAUCUCUUAAAGCCAUUCUCAGUUCGGAUUGUAGGCUGCAACUCGCCUACAUGAAGUCGGAAUCGCUAGUAAUCGCGGAUCAGCAUGCCGCGGUGAAUACGUUCCCGGGCCUUGUACACACCGCCCGUCACACCAUGAGAGUUUGUAACACCCAAAGUCGGUGGGGUAACCUUUUAGGAACCAGCCGCCUAAGGUGGGACAGAUGAUUAGGGUGAAGUCGUAACAAGGUAACC